GUAGGGAAUAUUGGACAAUGGGGGCAACCCUGAUCCAGCGACGCCGCGUGAGUGAUGAAGGCCUUCGGGUCGUAAAGCUCUGUUGCAGGGGAAGAACACAAUGACGGUACCCUGCUAGAAAGGAUCGGCUAACUUCGUGCCAGCAGCCGCGGUAAGACGAGGGAUCCUAGCGUUGUUCGGAAUUAUUGGGCGUAAAGCGUGUGCAGGUGGCUUGGUAAGUCAGAUGUGAAAGCCUGGGGCUUAACCCUAGAAGUGCAUUUGAUACUGCUGAGCUUGAGUGCUGGAGAGGCUAUUAGAAUUCCUGGUGUAGUGGUGAAAUACAUAGAUAUCAGGAGGAAUACCGGAGGCGAAGGCGGAUAGCUGGCCAGACACUGACACUCAGACCCGACAGCGUGGGGAUCAAACAGGAUUAGAAACCCCAGUAGUCC
rnacentral:rRNA from 1 species